UACGGAGGGGGCUAGCGUUGUUCGGAAUUACUGGGCGUAAAGCGUACGUAGGCGGCUUUGUAAGUUAGAGGUGAAAGCCCGGGGCUCAACUCCGGAAUUGCCUUUAAGACUGCAUCGCUAGAAUCAUGGAGAGGUGAGUGGAAUUCCGAGUGUAGAGGUGAAAUUCGUAGAUAUUCGGAAGAACACCAGUGGCGAAGGCGACUCACUGGACAUGUAUUGACGCUGAGGUACGAAAGCGUGGGGAGCAAACAGG
rnacentral:rRNA from 1 species